AUUGAACGCUAGCGGGAUGCCUUACACAUGCAAGUCGAACGGAGUGGAGAACGGGUGAGUAAUGUAUGGGAACGUGCCCAGCAGCGGGGGAUAACUACGCGACAGCGUAGCUAAUUCCGCAUACUUUUGGAGCGGCCGAUCUCGGAUUAGCUAGUUGGUGGGGUAACGGCUCACCAAGGUGACGAGCCGUAGCUGGCUUGAGAGGACGACCAGCCACACUGGGACUGAGACACGGCCCAGACUCCUACGGGAGGCAGCAGUGGGGAAUUUUGGACAAUGGGGGAAACCCUGAGCCAGCCAUCCCGCGUGGGAGAUGAAGGCCUUCGGGUUGUAAAGCACUUUUGGCAGGAAAGCGGUACCUGCAGAAUAAGCACCGGCUAACUACGUGCCAGCAGCCGCGGUAAUAC
rnacentral:rRNA from 1 species